CUAACAGGCUGUCUUACCAACACACAUGUAGUUUCUACUAUACUUUUCCUCCUGGGCUGUAAUGGCUCAGGGACAAACACAAACAAUAAUUUUGUAAACAAGUCAUAAUAUUUCAUUAGAAAUAAAAUAUUCAAAACUUUCAACAACGGAUCUCUUGGUUCUCGCAUCGAUGAAGGACGCAGCGAAUUGCGAUAAGUAUUGUGAAUUGCAGAUUUUCGUGAAUCAUCGAAUCUUUGAACGCACAUUGCGUCCUCCGGUAUUCCGGAGGGCAUGCCUGUUUGAGCGUCAUUUCCUUCUCAAACCUCUGGGUUUGGUUGUGAGUGAUACUCUGUCGCAAGACAAGGUUAACUUGAAAAUGCUGGCCAUGGGCGGAGCUUGCGCGGACUGCGGUCUGAGCUAGCUUUUACACUGCGUAUUAGGUUUCGACCGGAUC
rnacentral:rRNA from 1 species